GAUGAACGUUGGCGGUGUGCCUAAUACAUGCAAGUCGAACGGAGAUCAUAAAGUAGUAAUACCUUGUGAUUCUUAGUGGCGAACGGGUGAGUAACGCGUUGGUGACCUGCCCCGAAGUGUGGAAUAACAAUUCGAAAGAAUUGCUAAUACCGCAUGUGAUUUUAGAGACUAGAUGCUCUUUAAUUAAAGGAUUUAUUCGCUUCGGGAGGGGCCUGCGUCCCAUCAGCUAGUUGGUAAGGUAAUGGCUUACCAAGGCUAUGACGGGUAGGGGACCUGAGAGGGUGGCCCCCCACAAUGGAACUGAAACACGGUCCAUACACCUACGGGUGGCAGCAGUAGGGAAUAUUAGUAAUGGGCGAAAGCCUGAACUAGCAACACCGCGUGUGCGAAGAAGGCCUUCGGGUUGUAAAGCACUUUUCGGGAGGAUGAGGAAGGACGGUACUCCCGGAAUAAAGUCUCGGCUAACUACGUGCCAGCAGCCGCGGUAAACUAAGUCUACG
rnacentral:rRNA from 1 species